CCUACGGGUGGGCAGCAGUGGGGAAUAUUGGACAAUGGGGGGAACCCUGAUCCAGCGACGCCGCGUGAGUGAAGAAGUACUUCGGUAUGUAAAGCUCUAUUAGCAGGGAAGAAAGAAAUGACGGUACCUGACUAAGAAGCUCCGGCUAACUACGUGCAAGCAGCCGCGGUAAUACGUAGGGGGCAAGCGUUAUCCGGAUUUACUGGGUGUAAAGGGAGCGUAGACGGCGAUGCAAGUCUUAAGUGAAAGGCGGGGGCCCAACCCCCGGACUGCUUUGGAUACUGUAUGGCUGGAGUGCAGGAGAGGUAAGUGGAAUUCCUGGUGUAGCGGUGAAAUGCGUAGAUAUUAGGAAGAACCCCAGUUGCGAAGGCAGCUUACUGAACUGUGACUGACGUUGAGGCUCGAAAGCGUGGGGAGCAAACAGGAUUAGAUACCCGGGUAGUC
rnacentral:rRNA from 1 species